UCAACUACCAGGAUUCCCCUAGUAAUGGCGAAUGAACAGGGAAGAGCUCAAAUCUAUAACCGUGUUCACGGAUACGGAAUGUGGCCUCGUGUGCGUUCACCAGCUGCUCCUACGUCGUUAGUUGUUUGGAACAACACAUAAUCACGGGUGAAAAUCCCAUCUGUCGACCUUAUGGAGGCGCGUACGGUGUGCGUUCCCCGAGUCGCGCACCCUGGGACGGGUGCGUAAAUUCGGUGGUAAGUUUCAUCGAAAGCUCAAUAUUUCCUCGAGUCCGAUAGCCGAACAAGUACCAUGAGGGAAAGGUGAAAAGUACUUUGAAAAGAGAGUUAAACGUGCCUGAAAUCGUUGUGAAUCAAGCGAUUGGAAUCAACGUCGUUAAGGAAUUGGGGCGCAAAUUGUUUCAUCCUGCUUUGACGAGUUUUCGUCCUGGUUGGUUUGGCGCGGUUUGUUGUUCCGGAUCCCUUGAAGACAUCUGACACUGGUGGAUGAGCCGUCUACACCGCCGUUUGAAAUUCCUUCGGGAUGAUCCUUCGGAAGUGGCGGCUUUUGCACUGGCGGUACGCAUAUUUUUGGACCGUUCUGGAUUUCUGAAUUCGUUAUUCUCUGUCGUAUUUUCGGCUUGAAUGCGAGUGAUGAAAAAAGGGGCUCGAAAAGAUAUGUGGUGUCAGACCCGCAGUCCAU
rnacentral:rRNA from 1 species